UACGUAGGGUGCGAGCGUUGUCCGGAAUUACUGGGCGUAAAGAGCUCGUAGGCGGUGUGUCGCGUCGGCCGUGAAAACCUGCAGCUUAACUGUGGGCUUGCGGUCGAUACGGGCAUCACUGGAGUUCGGCAGGGGAGACUGGAAUUCCUGGUGUAGCGGUGAAAUGCGCAGAUAUCAGGAGGAACACCAACGGCGAAGGCAGCCCGCUGGGACGGUACUGACGCUAAGGCGCGAAAGCGUGGGGAGCGAACAGG
rnacentral:rRNA from 1 species